AAGGAAGAGCAGGUGCGAAGAACGAUUGUGUGCGGCCGCAAUGAAAAUCCGGAUCUCUCGAUAAGAAAACAUGCCAAAAAGCUUGGCAUAGUUUUCGGUGUUUAAAAAAUCGUUUGAUGCUCGCUCUACAACAACUAGAAAGAAGGAAAGUGGCACAAAAACAGAUCUGAGGAACCGCCAUAAGAAUGCGAAUGUUACGUAGGAGACCAGGGGUGACAUUGCGCAUUUCGAAACGAGUGAUUUUUGUUCGUUUCAGCCAUUUGGACAUGCCUUUGACCAGCUUUGUUUACGAAUCCAAAAAUAUUACAUUUCUCUACGGGACAAAUUUUGCUCUAAAUUUAGUACAUCGAAAAUAUGAACUUGAAAACGAUACAUAAUACUAAAACCAAUUCGAUUUGAGUUCGGAUUUUCUCGAAACGAGUUACUCGUUUCGAAAUGCGCAAUGCCACCCAAGAUCUUUCUGUACGUAUCAUUGCUUGUACCUUGCACCGACAGCACAUGAAGUUUUUCAUUGUGAAGACUGUGCGGAACUGUAGUGUUAAGCAGAAUACGUCGGGAAAAAAAACGCUUCAAUAAGCUUCAUCGCGAAUAAUUGACGAAGUUUCCAUGCGUUAUAAUGGACGAUGAAACGUAUUUCCUAGAACACUUCAAACAGCUCCCUGGAGUAAGAAGAAGGCCAAGUUCCCCAAAAAAUAUUUAGUAUGGCAGGCUAUAUGCAACUGUGGUCGAACAAGCAGAAAAACGACCGUUCCUAUGCAGCUGUCAUGUACUCUCGUUGUUCUGGCCUGAAUUGGCAUCCUGUCACUACGCCAAGAAAGUUUUUGAAUGGUAUGAUGCUAAUGGAGUCCAAAUUGUAUCGAGCGAGGCGAAUCCACCUAACGGUAUUGACCUCUGAUGAAGAGAGAGCGCUGUCCCAGCCAGAGACCUUCCUGAUUUUUUAGGAUUUCCCAGACUUUUUAGCACACUCCCUGAUAUCCAGACGAACACUCAAUUAAUCCUGAUUUUUCUGAAAUGAUCCUGAUUUUUUCUGAUUUUUGUACUCUUUACAUUAUUCAUAAUUAAUAUACUGGUUUCCAACAUUGCUUUAUUGAGGAUAAUGUGUAUGUAGAUGUAUCCCCAUGUAGAAAUGUAGAAAUACAUUUCGGAGUGUAAAAUUACUCAAGGGAAAAUUUUUAAAUUCACAGUCAAUAUAAGAAGAUUUUCGUCUGAUUCAAAGUAUAAUCAACUUUAAUGAUGGAACUAUGGUUUUUAUAGUUAUAACGGUACUAAAUAUCAUAAAAUUUAGGAAAAAAUCAAUAAGUCUUCUGUUAAUAUAAUAAUAUUGUUAAUAUGCUUUCCUCAUUUGUUGAGUAAAGAUUCAUUCCAAAGCAUGCCAAAGCAUGGACGAUGAAUUCAGAGAAAUUUUGAAUAUUGAUUUCUCUGCAAUUGACUGUAGUGAUGCUGUAGGUUUUUCGGAAAAAAUAUAAACGAUCAAAGGUUAGGCGAAACACUAGUAUUUCCGCUUAUGCGACGAUUUAUACCAUGUUUAUUAAUUCUUUUACAUACCCUGCCUUCACCCGAAGAAAGAUAUACUCUGUUUCUGGUGGGAUUUGGAAUGAAUUCUGUAUUAUGAGCUACUACCAAGCAACUUGUUUCUCACAUGUAAGGCUCGCAGCAGUUUACGACGAGGAAACAAACAUGCUCUGGGCGGAUAGAAUCUGAGUGAAAGAUGGUGAAAGAUUGUGAAACAGAACUAUGGAUAUAAAAUCAAAUUAUAACGCUUUGAUUGAAAAUUAUGUUUUUGUUUUCCCAAAAAUCGACAUUAACUUUUCGGACAGCCCAUUAUGAACUAUUCUCAUUUAUCCUGAUUUCUAUUUUCUUUCUACCUGAUUUUUAAAAAUUAUAGUUGGUCACCCUGGUCCCAGCACAAACAACAAGCAACAACUAUAAAAAAUCGAAAAUCUUGGACAAACGCAGUUAAGUUGGUUGCCAAUAAGUCUACACUGAUCUUCAUGGCAGAGGUCAACUUCAAAAUUCGACAAUUUUUCAUGUAGACUAUAUGAAUAAUGGUAAUUUGUUUGAUAAUUAUUUACGAUACACAUAUUAAGGAAAUAAAAUUGUUUCAUGAAUUAAACUUCUAGAAAAUUUGUUUUAUUCCAGAAUUGAGGUGUCCAGAUUUUGUCGCAAACAAGCC